UACGGAAGGCAGCAGUGGGGAAUAUUGCACAAUGGGCGCAAGCCUGAUGCAGCCAUGCCGCGUGUAUGAAGAAGGCCCUUCGGGUUGUAAAGUACUUUCAGUCGUGAGGAAGGUGUUAAGGUUAAUAACCUUAGCAAUUGACGUUAGCGACAGAAGAAGCACCGGCUAACUCCGUGCCAGCAGCCGCGGUAAUACGGAGGGUGCGAGCGUUAAUCGGAAUUACUGGGCGUAAAGGGCACGCAGGCGGUUAAUUAAGUUGGAUGUGAAAUCCCCGGGCUUAACCUGGGAAUGGCAUUCAAGACUGGUUAGCUAGAGUCUUGUAGAGGGGGUUAGAAUUCCAUGUGUAGCGGUGAAAUGCGUAGAGAUGUGGAGGAAUACCGGUGGCGAAGGCGGCCCCUGGACAAAGACUGACGCUCAUGUGCGAAAGCGUGGGGAGCAAAC
rnacentral:rRNA from 1 species